ensembl:processed_transcript
AAUCCCACCCGUGUUAAUGGUGAUUGGCCUGGUGACACAGUCGGCAGAUUUGAACUGAUAUGCUACUUGUGUGAAUUACAUUCAAAAGGUUCUCUAAGAAGAAACUCUGGGUUGGGUUUUAAUUCCUUUCGGUUAGGUCCAGUUAUGUAAGGGCAGCCGCUCGCCUCCUCCGUGGGUGUGACUGGCACUGGUGAGGUGGUGGGACCCUUUAAUGGU